rnacentral:rRNA from 1 species
GUCGAGCGGACAGAUGGGAGCUUGCUCCCUGAUGUUAGCGGCGGACGGGUGAGUAACACGUGGGUAACCUGCCUGUAAGACUGGGAUAACUCCGGGAAACCGGGGCUAAUACCGGAUGCUUGUUUGAACCGCAUGGUUCAAACAUAAAAGGUGGCUUCGGCUACCACUUACAGAUGGACCCGCGGCGCAUUAGCUAGUUGGUGAGGUAACGGCUCACCAAGGCAACGAUGCGUAGCCGACCUGAGAGGGUGAUCGGCCACACUGGGACUGAGACACGGCCCAGACUCCUACGGGAGGCAGCAGUAGGGAAUCUUCCGCAAUGGACGAAAGUCUGACGGAGCAACGCCGCGUGAGUGAUGAAGGUUUUCGGAUCGUAAAGCUCUGUUGUUAGGGAAGAACAAGUACCGUUCGAAUAGGGCGGUACCUUGACGGUACCUAACCAGAAAGCCACGGCUAACUACGUGCCAGCAGCCGCGGUAAUACGUAGGUGGCAAGCGUUGUCCGGAAUUAUUGGGCGUAAAGGGCUCGCAGGCGGUUUCUUAAGUCUGAUGUGAAAGCCCCCGGCUCAACCGGGGAGGGUCAUUGGAAACUGGGGAACUUGAGUGCAGAAGAGGAGAGUGGAAUUCCACGUGUAGCGGUGAAAUGCGUAGAGAUGUGGAGGAACACCAGUGGCGAAGGCGACUCUCUGGUCUGUAACUGACGCUGAGGAGCGAAAGCGUGGGGAGCGAACAGGAUUAGAUACCCUGGUAGUCCACGCCGUAAACGAUGAGUGCUAAGUGUUAGGGGGUUUCCGCCCCUUAGUGCUGCAGCUAACGCAUUAAGCACUCCGCCUGGGGAGUACGGUCGCAAGACUGAAACUCAAAGGAAUUGACGGGGGCCCGCACAAGCGGUGGAGCAUGUGGUUUAAUUCGAAGCAACGCGAAGAACCUUACCAGGUCUUGACAUCCCCUGACAAUCCUAGAAGAUAGGACGUCCCCCUUCGGGGGGCAGAGUGACAGGUGGUGCAUGGGUUGUCGUCAGCUCCGUGUCGUUGAGAUGUUGGGGUUAAGUCCCGCAACCGAGCGCAACCCUUUGAUCUUAGUUUGCCAGCAUUCAGUUGGGGCACUCU